rnacentral:rRNA from 1 species
UAGGGAAUCUUCGGCAAUGGACGAAAGUCUGACCGAGCAACGCCGCGUGAGAGAAGAAGGUUUUCGGAACGUAAAACUCUGUUGUUAGAGAAGAACAAGGACGUUAGUAACUGAACGUCCCCUGACGGUAUCUAACCAGAAAGCCACGGCUAACUACGUGCCAGCAGCCGCGGUAAUACGUAGGUGGCAAGCGUUGUCCGGAUUUAUUGGGCGUAAAGCGAGCGCAGGCGGUUUCUUAAGUCUGAUGUGAAAGCCCCCGGCUCAACCGGGGAGGGUCAUUGGAAACUGGGAGACUUGAGUGCAGAAGAGGAGAGUGGAAUUCCAUGUGUAGCGGUGAAAUGCGUAGAUAUAUGGAGGAACACCAGUGGCGAAGGCGGCUCUCUGGUCUGUAACUGACGCUGAGGCUCGAAAGCGUGGGGAGCAAACAGG